AUACGUAGGAGGCAAGCGUUGUUCGGAAUCACUGGGCUUAAAGAGCGUGUAGGCGGAGUGGUAGGUGCCUUGUGAAAUCCCUCGGCUCACCCGAGGAACUGCUCGGCAAACCAUCACUCUUGAGGCCGGCAGAGGCAAGCGGAACCAUGGGUGGAGCGGUGAAAUGCGUAGAUAUCCAUGGGAACACCAGUGGCGAAGGCGGCCACCUGGCCCGGUACUGACGCUGAGGUGCGAAAGCGUGGGGAGCAAACAGGAUUAGAAACCCUAGUAGUCC
rnacentral:rRNA from 1 species